rnacentral:lncRNA from 1 species
ACUGAAAGUAAUAGUUUCAGCAGAUGCCUUCAAAAUAAGAUACUAUACCAUUAUUCAUACAGAGAUGUUUUAUGUAAGCCAAAUCUUGACCACAACAAAAUGGGAGGAAAAACUUCCAAAACUGUUUAGAAAGUUCUUCUGUCCAAUUCAAAAAUUUAAUACUUCUGUUUCACAUAUCUGUCGUUCAUUAAGCACGAUAAUUCUACUAAGUUAGUAGAAACUGUAUGCACUUAUUAACGAGAACAGAGACCCUCAAGAAAAUGAUGCAAUCAACUGCAAUUGUAAAUAUACAAAACAUCAAGUUAAUAAUGAAUUUUGUAAAAUAAAAUUUGUUAAAUUUCAUUUAAGGUUAGUUCUUGGACACCCAUAUUUUCCGGAGGACAACAAAAUUUCCAAGUUUUAACCUUAUGUUCGUAGGUCAGCCUUUAAUAAAUCUUAACCCUUAAUACUUUCAUCAAGUCUGUACUCAAGUUGCUUCUCCCGGCGUGUCACGUAAACACAAUUCUUAAAAAUUAAAGCUUCAAUCAGUAAGGGUACCAGGUUUAUUACCACUGUCACUCUUUUGAUGAUAUUUCCAAUCAGGGAAGAAAGAAGAUGAGGUUUAUUAAACUGGAAGCUAAACUAAGAAUACUGGGUGGAUACCUAGCUUAGGCAGAAAGCAGAAGAGACUGGAACUCUUCAGGGAUUUAAUAAAAUGUCAAACGGACUGAAGUCAAGUGGCUCGAUCUAUGCAUAUAGAAAGAACGGUUUUAGAGAAAAACAAAACAAGAUCAGAUACAAGAAAUGGGAUGAGGAUGCAAAAGGACGAGAGGACGGGGCCAUCAGCCGGAAAGCGACGAGGCGGGGGACCAAGAGAGGCAGGAGGCCUCCGAGGGCAAGGUGGGGCGCAGGAGGAACUCCAGCGCAAAGCGAUGCUGAAGCGCACACACCAGAAACCAACAAAAGAACCAAGACGAAGGACCCAAGGACGAAAACGAGAAGGAACGACGGCCAAGAAGAGUGAUUGGUGGAGUCGCCUGAUCUUGUGUCUGUUCAAGCCUCAGUCAACAACCUGGGAGGCCUCUUCCGUCACCAAGUCACCGUGA